UACGGGAGGCAGCAGUGGGGAAUAUUGCACAAUGGGCGCAAGCCUGAUGCAGCCAUGCCGCGUGUAUGAAGAAGGCCUUCGGGUUGUAAAGUACUUUCAGUCGUGAGGAAGGUGUUAAGGUUAAUAACCUUAGCAAUUGACGUUAGCGACAGAAGAAGCACCGGCUAACUCCGUGCCAGCAGCCGCGGUAAUACGGAGGGUGCGAGCGUUAAUCGGAAUUACUGGGCGUAAAGGGCACGCAGGCGGUUAAUUAAGUUGGAUGUGAAAUCCCCGGGCUUAACCUGGGAAUGGCAUUCAAGACUGGUUAGCUAGAGUCUUGUAGAGGGGGUUAGAAUUCCAUGUGUAGCGGUGAAAUGCGUAGAGAUGUGGAGGAAUACCGGUGGCGAAGGCGGCCCCUGGACAAAGACUGACGCUCACGUGCGAAAGCGUGGGGAGCAAACGAGGGAUUAGAUACC
rnacentral:rRNA from 1 species